rnacentral:rRNA from 1 species
CACGUAGGGCGCAAGCGUUGUCCGGAAUUAUUGGGCGUAAAGAGCUCGUAGGCGGACUGUCACGUCUGCUGUGAAAAGCUGGGGCUUAACCCUGGCCUUGCAGUGGAUACGGGCAGACUAGAGGUAGGUAGGGGAGAAUGGAAUUCCUGGUGUAGCGGUGAAAUGCGUAGAUAUCGGGAGGAACACCGGUGGCGAAGGCGGUUCUCUGGGCCUGACCUGACGCUGAGGAGCGAAAGCGUGGGGAGCGAACAGG